AACCCAUCUAAGGUCUUCCUUAACUCCCAUAACAUGUAGGAGGAAACUUUUUAGCCAAAACUUCAACAUUCAACAAUAUACAAAAGCCAUCACACCAACAGCCCCUCGGAGCUACUAAAAUACAUGACAGUGUUUUAAAUGUAAUGCGAAGAUCAAAGUCUUUCACGGCUGACACCCAGUUGGACUGAGCAGCGGCCGGAGUUGCCCCGCCUAUACUUGCCUGUGUCCCACGCCGCCAUCCCUGCCCAUUGGAGUGAGAGAGCAAGCCGAGGUACGCGGGGGGAUGUCGGCAGGUAUCUUUUCAUUUAACCUUCCCUGUGGAUUAACUUCGAUUUGAUGCAUGUGAGCUGAAAAGUGAGAUGGCCUUUCAAGAGACAACAUCAAACAACGUGGGAACAGAAGCAGACUCCCAUUCUAACUCCUUGAUCUAAUUCCUUGAUCAAAUACCCAGCAAAAAAUUGCAGCCAGUGGAAAUACCUCUCCAAUACAUUAAUUGACACAACCGCCUGAAUUCAAUAUGGCUCAUGACUCGAACAGUAUCACUUUUGCCCUCUCCCUUGUCAGCAAGACGAAGGAGCUAGUUAGUACCUCAGGAAGCAUGGUGGAGUACACACCCUAAUCAGAAUCAAUGGUGCAGAAGUGGAAAUGGUUCCUACGCAUAAACAUCACAGUAAUCUGUCCUGGAACAACCACAUUAAAACUAUGUCCAAAAAUGUACACCAGCACCUCUAAGUACCAGAAAACUUUGGAUGUUCAGCAUGUCUCAAUGACUCUUACCACCUUCUACAGAUGCACCUUAAAAAGCAUUCUAUCGGGAUGAAUCACAGCUUGGUUUGGGAAAAGGUCUGCCUAAGACCACAAGAAAUUGCAGAUAGUUAUGGAUGUAAUCAAGUCCAUCAAAGAUCAGCUUCCCUAACAUUGACUCCAUCCACAUUUCACUCUGCCUCGGGAAAGCAGCCAACAUAAUCAAGGACUUUUUUUACACCGGUCACUCCUUCUUCUUCCUUCCCAUUUGGCAGAAGACACAAAAGCAGAAAGCACGUACCACCAGAUUCAGGAACAGCUUCUUUCCCACAGUAAUCAGACGACUCAUAAGCUAGGGUGUAGAUCCAAUCUUCCAACCUACUUCAUUGCAAAUCUUGGACGUUUUCUCUGUAACUGUAAAGCUAUAAUGCUGUAACACUGUAUUCUGUACUGUGGUAUUUUUCUCUUUGGUCUACCUAUUGUACUUAAUUAUGGUUUGAUUGUACUUGUGUGUAGUAUGAUUUGCUUUGAUUGGAUAGCACACAAACAAAAGGUCCUCACAGUGUCUCAGUCCACAUUGUAGUACCCAUUUAGCCACUAAGCCAUUAACUCAGUAUGUUAUAACAACAACCUGUUACCUUUAAAUUGUAUCUGCCUGUAAUGAUGUGGGUUGGAUUUAUUACGUAGUAGGAGGCAUGUUUGCGGCUGGGAUCCUCGCGCAGAUGCACUAGUAAUUAGUCUUUUAGUUUUAGUUGCAGAUGCAUGGGGGAGAGGUCACAGCUUUCGACCAUGCACGAGUUUGACUAUGAGUAAGAUCAAAAUGUACCUAAACAAGAAGAUGUUUGGAUGAAUAUCUUACUGUUUUUACUAUGAAAAUAAAGAAACUAUUAAUUAAGAG